rnacentral:sRNA from 1 species
GCCGGGUCUCCAGCGCUCAGUCCGCGCCGCAGGUAGUGCUUGUAUGCAGAGCGAUGACUUCUUUCCGCCUGGCCCUCAUCCAGCUUCAGAUUUCUUCCAUCAAAUCAGAUAACGUCACUCGCGCUUGUAGCUUCAUCCGGGAGGCAGCAACGCAAGGAGCCAAAAUAGUUUCUUUGCCGGAAUGCUUUAAUUCUCCAUAUGGAACAAAAUAUUUUCCUGAAUAUGCAGAGAAAAUUCCUGGUGAAUCCACACAGAAGCUUUGUGAAGUAGCAAAGGAAUGCAGCAUAUAUCUCAUUGGAGGCUCUAUCCCUGAAGAGGAUGCUGGGAAAUUAUAUAACACCUGUGCUGUGUUUGGGCCUGAUGGAACUUUACUAGCAAAGUAUAGAAAGAUCCAUCUGUUUGACAUUGAUGUUCCUGGAAAAAUUACAUUUCAAGAAUCUAAAACAUUGAGUCCGGGUGAUAGUUUCUCCACAUUUGAUACUCGUAUGUACCAGAUAAGUUUGCCUCUUUAGCAAUCUCAGUAGAAGACAAUCAGGUAUUUAUUUCUUUUUUGUCUCUCUCCGAUUUCUUCACAUAACCUAACUGAAAGACCAUAAGUGAGAAAGGCAGAGAGUCAUCACAGAUCUGGAAAGUUCGGGCUUAUUUGAGAACUAAGGAUUUGACACGAUUUUGCCCUUUGAUUUGAUUGUAGCUUCCUGUUAUGGCUUCCAGAGUAUACCUAUUAGGCUACAGUUGAGUACCUCCCAUCUAGAUAAUAAGCAUUCAAUUAGAAUUAAUUUCUCAUCUUUACUCUGCUGAUGUAAAUGAUGUCUUUAUGAGAUGAAGUCCAAGUAGGAAUGAGCUUGUAAAUUAUCUCUGUCCUCAGGUCCUGUGUUAAUUUAUCCCUGUCAGUGUUUUGUGAUCAUUAUGUCAUGGAGGAUUUCCCCUGCCACACCAUGCUGUAGGGAGUUAACUUUUCAUUUGUGCAUUUUCUGUUUGGAAACAGCUUACUGCAGAGUGGGUCUGGGCAUCUGCUACGACAUGCGGUUUGCAGAGCUUGCACAAAUCUACGCACAGAGAGGCUGCCAGCUGUUGGUAUAUCCAGGAGCUUUUAAUCUGACCACUGGACCAGCCCAUUGGGAGUUACUUCAGCGAAGCCGGGCUGUUGAUAAUCAGGUGUAUGUGGCCACAGCCUCUCCUGCCCGGGAUGACAAAGCCUCCUAUGUUGCCUGGGGACACAGCACCGUGGUGAACCCUUGGGGGGAGGUUCUAGCCAAAGCUGGCACAGAAGAAGCAAUCGUGUAUUCAGACAUAGACCUGAAGAAGCUGGCUGAAAUACGCCAGCAAAUCCCCGUUUUUAGACAGAAGCGAUCAGACCUCUAUGCUGUGGAAAUGAAAAAGCCCUAAAGUUUAUGUUUCUAAUGUGUCACAGAAUAGGAUGAUAUGAUUCUACAACAUAAUCAACUCCCUAUUAAAUUCUUUAAUGAAGA